rnacentral:lncRNA from 1 species
UUACAAAAAAAAUAAAUAAAUAAAAAUAAUAAUAAAUAAAUAAAUAAAAUAUAAUAGAAAAAACUUGGACUUGGACCUCUCUCAUUUGAGCCCACAAAGCCAUGAAAAUCAGGUUAUAAAAGAGGGAGAUCAGAGAGAAAAAGGAAGAGAAGCAAAAUACUCUGAGGUUUCCUUGAAACAAAACCCUGGACAAAACCUGGAGAGAAACCUGACAGAGAACUCAGAGCAACCCCCAGGCAGCUCUGAAAAAUUCAAUCUGACUCACACACUUUCA